rnacentral:rRNA from 1 species
UACGAAGGGGGCUAGCGUUGCUCGGAAUUACUGGGCGUAAAGCGCACGUAGGCGGCUCUUUAAGUCGGGGGUGAAAUCCUGGAGCUCAACUCCAGAACUGCCUUCGAUACCUGAAGAGCUUGAGUCCGGGAGAGGUGAGUGGAACUGCGAGUGUAGAGGUGAAAUUCGUAGAUAUUCGCAAGAACACCAGUGGCGAAGGCGGCCUGCA